rnacentral:rRNA from 1 species
UACGUAGGGUGCGAGCGUUGUCCGGAAUUAUUGGGCGUAAAGGGCUCGUAGGCGGUUUGUCACGUCGGGAGUGAAAACUCGGGGCUUAACCCCGAGCCUGCUUCCGAUACGGGCAGACUAGAGGUAUGCAGGGGAGAACGGAAUUCCUGGUGUAGCGGUGAAAUGCGCAGAUAUCAGGAGGAACACCGGUGGCGAAGGCGGUUCUCUGGGCAUUACCUGACGCUGAGGAGCGAAAGUGUGGGGAGCGAACAGGAUUAGAAACCCCCGUAGUCC